rnacentral:rRNA from 1 species
CGCUGGCGGCAGGCUUAACACAUGCAAGUCGAGCGGUAGCACAAGAGAGCUUGCUCUCUGGGUGACGAGCGGCGGACGGGUGAGUAAUGUCUGGGAAACUGCCUGAUGGAGGGGGANAACUACUGGAAACGGUAGCUAAUACCGCAUAACGUCGCAAGACCAAAGAGGGGGACCUUCGGGCCUCUUGCCAUCAGAUGUGCCCAGAUGGGAUUAGCUAGUAGGUGGGGUAAUGGCUCACCUAGGCGACGAUCCCUAGCUGGUCUGAGAGGAUGACCAGCCACACUGGAACUGAGACACGGUCCAGACUCCUACGGGAGGCAGCAGUGGGGAAUAUUGCACAAUGGGCGCAAGCCUGAUGCACCAUGCCCGUGUGUGAAAAAAGCCUUCGGUUGUAAAGCACUUUU